UGCUAUUUGUCUUCAUUAAUGCGAAUGCGCCUAGAACUUUGGCAAGCUACCCAGCAAGAUUCCGACGCUCUUCAGUCUCCGUUCGUUCAACCCUGAUGAUGGCAAAUUCUGCGUGGCAUUUUUAAGCCGACGCCAAAUGACAUGCAGCAGUUAUUAAUUGGCAAUUUACAUGCCGAAUGAUUAAUGCCUGGGCCCCACAGGGCGGAAACAGCCAGGAGACCGAAAUGGAGCCGCAGCAGCAGUCUUAAACCGAAGGCACAUAUGUCACCGGGGGCAAAGUAAAGGUGCACUCGCGGGCAAGAGCAUAGCUCGCUUGUGUCGAAAAGGUCUUAUUACAUUGGUGUUAUGCGUCAAUUAAAGAACUUUGUAGGUAUUCAUUUAUUUAAAAAUAAUCUGUUCGACCUUUGAUAAAAAUGUUUACUAGUUCUAAUUUAAAUGCAGAGUAAUCUCAGAAUUACUUUUCAUUUCUGUUAACUAUUUCUUAAGUACAUCUUUCAAGACACAGCCUGCAAUUUUCUCCCUUCCUUAUUGGAACCAUGAUAUGUUGACCGCUGCUGUUCCUGUGUGGAAAUGCUUUUCCGGGCUUUGGCAGUGGGACUCAUCUUUAGCAUAGCAAACAGCUUGAAAAUCAAAAGGGACGAUUAUGCAGUUGCACUGAAGUCCUUUGAAUGGAGUGGAGUAAAGGGAACGUGGGCAACCAGUUAGGCACGUGGAUUCGGGAUACACAGACUCCUUAGUUUUGAGUUUCGAGCUUCGAGUGCCUCUGGCCCAGACAACUACCCUUUUCAACCGCAAAUAGAGCGAGCAACAGAGGCAGCAGAGGCAUCGCCUUGACCGAUUCUGAACCUGAACUGCUCUUGACAUCCGGGCCUGGGUCGAAAUUAUAAGCAGGAAAAUAAAGAGGAGCGAGCAUGUGGCAUGCAUAUUCAUAAAAUUGCACUGGAACCGCUCGCAGGACAACAAUGGCAACACGACAGCAACCAAAAGUGAAAAUCCAAGGAGUGACAGCCAUGAGAGUUGGGAAGGCGCCGUCGCACAGAUGCUACUGCUUCUUAUCCUCAGUGCUGACGUGCUAGCUUCUUGUACACAUUUCUUAUUUAAGAUUAAUUUAUAUAUCACUUUUAGUUUCCAACUUCUUAAUAUAUGGCAUGGUGACAAAAGAAAA